GACGUAGGAGGCGAGCGUUGUCCGGAUUCAUUGGGCGUAAAGAGCACGCAGGCGGUUUGGCAAGUCGGAUGUGAAAGCCCGGAGCUCAACUCCGGACCUGCAUCCGAAACUGCCCGACUAGAGGUAGGUAGGGGAGAUCGGAAUUCCUGGUGUAGCGGUGAAAUGCGUAGAUAUCGAGAGGAACACCUGCGGCGAAGGCGGGUUGCUGGGCCGACACUGACGCUGAUGCGCGAAAGCCAGGGGAGCGAACGGG
rnacentral:rRNA from 1 species